UACGAAGGGGGCUAGCGUUGUUCGGAAUUAUUGGGCGUAAAGAGCUCGUAGGCGGUUUGUCGCGUCGAAUGUGAAAUCCCGGGGCUCAACCCCGGGUCUGCAUUCGAUACGGGCAGACUAGAGUUCGGUAGGGGAGUCUGGAAUUCCUGGUGUAGCGGUGAAAUGCGCAGAUAUCAGGAGGAACACCGGUGGCGAAGGCGGGACUCUGGGCCGAUACUGACGCUGAGGAGCGAAAGCGUGGGGAGCAAACAGG
rnacentral:rRNA from 1 species